CAAAAUCAUCCUGUGCUGUGCCUGGUGCGCCACUGCCGGGACGUUUUCCUGGCCUGGCUCGCCUCCCGCAACGCCGGCGUCGUUUUCGUCAAGUGAGGCUCCGCCCCCUCCUUUUGGGGCAUUUUCAGCCGAUUUCGACAUUUCCCAAAAAUCCCCAAAAUUGGGGAAAUUCCCAAUUAAAAAAAUUUGGAUCAAAAAA